AGCGAUGAGGCAAGAGAGAAGUUUUUAAGAACAGAAAAAUGUGAUUGCGAAAACGUCAUUGUUGGCAGGAGGACUCGGUGGAUUCAGAUAUAACUGUAGGUGCUGCUUGUAUGAAAGAGCUGAGCCACACCAUCCAGUAAACUGUCUUGAGCAGCAGUUGGCUUGCUUGGAAAUCGCUUCUAGGACUGUGCUGUAAGUGGCUAUCGACUGAGUUGCCAGAACACUGCCCUACAAAGCUUUGGAGGGCCACUUCUUAAUGGAUUGCUGCAGCCUCUUAAUUUCACCAUUGAUCCUGUUCCCUGCAUCGUGAGAACAUUUUAGCCAGCACAGAACCUAGAAAAGUUACAUG